AUGCAUUCACCCAGACAACAGGAACACUGACAGGCCUUACAGCAUGUGGAUUUCAGUUUGGAUUUACUGAAGAAACAGAGCUCUUGGAGAAAUGUGCACCAAAGGCCAUCAGGCUGGGGACAAGCAGGUAGUAAAAGAGAUAAUUAUUGGAUAGGAGCAAGGAAGUGGUCCAUGCAGCUAAAGCAUGAGAUGAAACACCAACACAGCAUCACACAGAGGGAGAAGAAAGAUCCUUCAGAGGAGCAAUCCCAG